UUGGAGGGCAAGUCUGGUGCCAGCAGCCGCGGUAAUUCCAGCUCCAAUAGCGUAUAUUAAAGUUGUUGCAGUUAAAAAGCUCGUAGUUGAAUUUCGGGAUCAAUGGGUUGGUCAUGCCCUCGGUAUGUACUGAUUUCAUUGGUUCUCACCUUCUAAGGAACCAUGAUGUCAUUCAUUUGAUGUUGUGGGGAAUUAGGACUGUUACCUUGAAAAAAUUAGAGUGUUUAAAGCAGGCUAACGCUUGAAUACAUUAGCAUGGAAUAAUGAAAUAGGACAUCCGAUUCUAUUUUGUUGGUUUCUAGGAUCGAUGUAAUGAUUAAUAGGGAUAGUUGGG
rnacentral:rRNA from 1 species